GACGAACGCUGGCGGCGUGCCUAAUACAUGCAAGUCGAGCGGAGUUGCGAGGGAGCUUGCUCCCGAACAGCUUAGCGGCGGACGGGUGAGUAACACGUAGGCAACCUGCCCAUUAGCCUGGGAUAACUUACGGAAACGUGAGCUAAUACCGGAUAGGCGGUCACUCCGCAUGGAGAGACCGGGAAAGGCGGAGUAAUCUGCCGCUGAUGGAUGGGCCUGCGGCGCAUUAGCUGGUUGGUGAGGUAACGGCUCACCAAGGCGACGAUGCGUAGCCGACCUGAGAGGGUGAUCGGCCACACUGGGACUGAGACACGGCCCAGACUCCUACGGGAGGCAGCAGUAGGGAAUCUUCCGCAAUGGACGCAAGUCUGACGGAGCAACGCCGCGUGAGUGAGGAAGGUUUUCGGAUCGUAAAGCUCUGUUGCCAGGGAAGAACGCAUGUUUGUUCACUGCAGACAUGGUGACGGUACCUGAGAAGAAAGCCCCGGCUAACUACGUGC
rnacentral:rRNA from 1 species